rnacentral:lncRNA from 13 species
UAAAAAACAAUAUGCUGAGAAGAAACAAGCAAUUUAUAAAACUGAUUGAUAUCUAUUGGCAUUUACAAUCAAAGAAAAGCAAUAAAAGAUUGAUGAAUAAACUAUUAGAUUCUAUUAUUUUAUUAUAUUUUUUAAGCAGAGGACAAUAUAAAGCUAUAAGUGAUCCAGUAGCUGAGCAAGUACGGAAAAUAAUAAGACCGUCAGUAGAAGGCUUAUCGAAUGUUUUUGAUAAUGACUGUAUCGAAGGAUCUCAAAUUUUGAUAAAAAUGUGGAAUUCGUAGAAGAAUAGCUGGACUACUCAAAUGAAAAUAUUAUAGAAGGAGAAAGCGAUAUAGAAGAAGGUUGAAGAUGAUAAGGAAGAAGACAUAGGUGAUACGAAAGAUGAUGAUGAAUUUAACAUGGAUGAACUAGUAUUAAACUUUCUUCAAAAAGUUAAAUUGAACUGGAAAAAUUAGCUGGAAUCCACAAAAAUUAAAAACAUAAAUUAGUGUACCACUUAGAACAUCUGCGGUGACUAAAAGAAAAUCUACAGCGAAUCAUUCAGCAAGAAGAAAAAAAAUCAAAAAUAAA